rnacentral:rRNA from 1 species
GGUUAAGCGACUAAGCGUACACGGUGGAUGCCCUGGCAGUCAGAGGCGAUGAAGGGCGUGCUAAUCUGCGAUAAGCGCCGGUAAGGUGAUAUGAACCGUUAUAACCGGCGAUACCCGAAUGGGGAAACCCAGUGUGAUUCGUCACACUAUCAUUAACUGAAUCCAUAGGUUAAUGAGGCGAACCGGGGGAACUGAAACAUCUAAGUACCCCGAGGAAAAGAAAUCAACCGAGAUUCCCCCAGUAGCGGCGAGCGAACGGGGAGGAGCCCAGAGCCUGAAUCAGCAUGUGUGUUAGUGGAAGCGUCUGGAAAGGCGCGCGAUACAGGGUGACAGCCCCGUACACAAAAGCGCAUAUGCUGUGAGCUCGAUGAGUAGGGCGGGACACGUGGUAUCCUGUCUGAAUAUGGGGGGACCAUCCUCCAAGGCUAAAUACUCCUGACUGACCGAUAGUGAACCAGUACCGUGAGGGAAAGGCGAAAAGAACCCCGGCGAGGGGAGUGAAAAAGAACCUGAAACCGUGUACGUACAAGCAGUGGGAGCCCCACCACUAAGCCAGUGGUGAACUCCACAUACGCAUCCUUUGCUGAGGAGACGGUUAACGGAGCGAAAGCGACGUUCAACCUCAAAAGAAGCAGAGGGGGCUUAGUGGUGGGGUGACUGCGUACCUUUUGUAUAAUGGGUCAGCGACUUAUAUUCUGUAGCAAGGUUAACUGUAUAGGGGAGCCGGAGGGAAACCGAGUCUUAACCGGGCGUUAAGUUGCAGGGUAUAGACCCGAAACCCGGUGAUCUAGCCAUGGGCAGGUUGAAGGUUGGGUAACACUAACUGGAGGACCGAACCGACUAAUGUUGAAAAAUUAGCGGAUGACCUGUGGCUGGGGGUGAAAGGCCAAUCAAACCGGGAGAUAGCUGGUUCUCCCCGAAAGCUAUUUAGGUAGCGCCUCGUGAAUUCAUCUCCGGGGGUAGAGCACUGUUUCGGCUAGGGGGCCAUCCCGGCUUACCAACCCGAUGCAAACUGCGAAUACCGGAGAAUGUUAUCACGGGAGACACACGGCGGGUGCUAAUGUCCGUCGUGAAGAGGGAAACAACCCAGACCGCCAGCUAAGGUCCCAAAGUCAUGGUUAAGUGGGAAACGAUGUGGGAAGGCCCAGACAGCCAGGAUGUUGGCUUAGAAGCAGCCAUCAUUUAAAGAAAGCGUAAUAGCUCACUGGUCGAGUCGGCCUGCGCGGAAGAUGUAACGGGGCUAAACCAUGCACCGAAGCUGCGGCAGCGACACCGUGUGUUGUUGGGUAGGGGAGCGUUCUGUAAGCCUGUGAAGGUGUGCUGUGAGGCAUGCUGGAGGUAUCAGAAGUGCGAAUGCUGACAUAAGUAACGAUAAAGCGGGUGAAAAGCCCGCUCGCCGGAAGACCAAGGGUUCCUGUCCAACGUUAAUCGGGGCAGGGUGAGUCGACCCCUAAGGCGAGGCCGAAAGGCGUAGUCGAUGGGAAACGGGUUAAUAUUCCCGUACUUGGUGUUACUGCGAAGGGGGGACGGAGAAGGCUAUGUUGGCCGGGCGACGGUUGUCCCGGUUUAAGCGUGUAGGUAUGUGUUCCAGGUAAAUCCGGUUCACUUUAACACUGAGGCGUGACGACGAGGCACUACGGUGCUGAAGCAACAAAUGCCCUGCUUCCAGGAAAAGCCUCUAAGCAUCAGGUAACAUCAAAUCGUACCCCAAACCGACACAGGUGGUCAGGUAGAGAAUACCAAGGCGCUUGAGAGAACUCGGGUGAAGGAACUAGGCAAAAUGGUGCCGUAACUUCGGGAGAAGGCACGCUGACACGUAGGUGAAGUGAUUUACUCACGGAGCUGAAGUCAGCCGAAGAUACCAGCUGGCUGCAACUGUUUAUUAAAAACACAGCACUGUGCAAACACGAAAGUGGACGUAUACGGUGUGACGCCUGCCCGGUGCCGGAAGGUUAAUUGAUGGGGUCAGCGCAAGCGAAGCUCCUGAUCGAAGCCCCGGUAAACGGCGGCCGUAACUAUAACGGUCCUAAGGUAGCGAAAUUCCUUGUCGGGUAAGUUCCGACCUGCACGAAUGGCGUAAUGAUGGCCAGGCUGUCUCCACCCGAGACUCAGUGAAAUUGAACUCGCUGUGAAGAUGCAGUGUACCCGCGGCAAGACGGAAAGACCCCGUGAACCUUUACUAUAGCUUGACACUGAACAUUGAGCCUUGAUGUGUAGGAUAGGUGGGAGGCUUUGAAGUGUGGACGCCAGUCUGCAUGGAGCCGACCUUGAAAUACCACCCUUUAAUGUUUGAUGUUCUAACGUGGACCCGUGAUCCGGGUUGCGGACAGUGUCUGGUGGGUAGUUUGACUGGGGCGGUCUCCUCCUAAAGAGUAACGGAGGAGCACGAAGGUUGGCUAA